rnacentral:rRNA from 1 species
AGUUAAAACUUUCAACAACGGAUCUCUUGGUUCUGGCAUCGAUGAAGAACGCAGCGAAAUGCGAUAAGUAAUGUGAAUUGCAGAAUUCAGUGAAUCAUCGAAUCUUUGAACGCACAUUGCGCCUAAUAGUAUUCUGUUAGGCAUGCCUGUUCGAGCGUCAUUU